ACCCUUGUGGAGGAGGACGCCGAAGGUGGGGCUAAUGACUGGGGUGAAGUCGUAACAAGGUAGCCGUACCGGAAGGUGCGGCUGGAUCACCUCCUAACAGGGAGACAACAAAAUGUUUAAUAUUAUUAUUUUGUCACCUUAGGUCGAUCGGUAUCUCACGUUCUUAAUUUAUUAAGAAUUUUAUUUCCUAAGUUUUUCUAGGUCACACCCAUUAUUUUUCCUGGGCCAUUAGCUCAGGUGGUUAGAGCGCACCCCUGAUAAGGGUGAGGUCCCUGGUUCAAGUCCAGGAUGGCCCAUAUCUCUAUGUUGGGGGUAUAGCUCAGUUGGUAGAGCGCCUGCUUUGCAAGCAGGAUGUCAGCGGUUCGAGUCCGCUUACCUCCACUGAUUACCACCUCUUCCAUAAUUUGUAGAAAGGGAAUUUUUUGAGUUGUGAUCAAAUUCUGAACGAAUCUAGCUUCCUAAUGAAAUUAUUAAGAUGCUGGACUCAUUGAAUUAAUUUCAUUGUUUUCAGAGAACCUUGACAACUGCAUAGAUUAUUUUUUUAAAGACAAUAAGCAUCUUUAAUGAUGCAGAUUUAUUAUUUGUGCGAAUGCAUUAAUAACAAUUCUAUUAAGCUGAUGCUUCAAUUUUGAAGUUAUUGGUCAAGCUACAAAGGGCUCACGGAGGAUACCUAGGCACACAGAGGC
rnacentral:misc_RNA from 1 species